UUUUCACAUAUAAAACUUCUUCCACUCCUAUUGUAUAUUUUGUCUAUUUGUCUUUCUCUUCCUUCCCCACCAAAAUUUCCCUUUCACACUUCACAAAAAAGAAAUACUAAAUGAUUUGUCAGUAGCAGCAAACAUGUCCAGCAAGGGAAAGGAGAUAGCAGAAGGAUCAUCAACAACAACAACAGCAACAAGAUCCUCUCAUGGAGGUGACGAUCAUCAUCAUCACCACAAUCAGCAGCAGCAACAACAACAACAGUUACCACUGAGUCGCUAUGAGUCUCAGAAGAGAAGGGAUUGGAACACUUUUGGACAGUACCUGAGGAACCAAAGGCCUCCAGUGGCACUUUCUCAGUGCAGCUCCAACCAUGUUCUUGAGUUCCUUCGCUACUUGGACCAGUUUGGGAAGACCAAAGUGCACUCACAAGGGUGCUUGUUCUUUGGGCAAACUGAGCCGCCAGGACCCUGCACUUGCCCUCUCAGACAAGCUUGGGGGAGCCUUGAUGCACUCAUUGGAAGAUUGAGAGCUGCAUAUGAAGAAAAUGGAGGCCUUCCUGAGACCAAUCCUUUUGCAAGUGGCACCAUAAGAGUCUAUCUUAGAGAGGUGAGAGAUUCUCAGGCUAAGGCUAGAGGAAUCCCUUAUAAGAAGAAAAAGAAGAAGAGGAAUGUUAUCAGGCCCAACGGAGACACCUCCUCCUCAAACUUGCCUAUGCAGUAAUAAUAAUUAAACAGGAGCAUGUGCUUAUAUAUACAUGUUAGCUUUUCCGCACAAUCUUACUUCUUUCGUUACUGGUACUCUCGAUCUUAUUGUGGCUUUCACAAACGGUAUAUCUCUAAAUUGUUUCAAAGUCGUGAAUCUGUUGCUAGGCCUUGGAUAUAACUUCAGCUGCAAACUUGGAAUUCUGGUUAUAAUUGACUAUCUGGACAUAUCCCUGGGUCAACUUUAACCCUUCGGUGGUCUUUAUGUGUCAAGGAGUGUAUUUUGUUAUUUCGAAUGAGAGUUUAGAAUGAAGUUGACGAAAAGUUUAACAUUGGGGGUAAGUCCCUGUAUUAUAUUUACUUAUAUAUAUUUACACUAUCAAGCAUAUUAUAUAGUCAUGAAAAUAAUGUGUAUGAUAUUGCAUAUGGUAUUGGUAUCGUUUGAUUAAUUCUCUGGGAAGCUAAUUUGAUAUGAUUAUGC